rnacentral:rRNA from 2 species
UCUUACGGGAGGCAGCAGUGGGGAAUCCUACGGAAUGCAGCAGUGGGUAAUCCAGCACAAUGGGCGAAACCAUGAAGCCGCAACGCCGGGUGAGCGAUGAAUCCCUAGGAUGUAAAUCCGAUCAGCCGCGAAGAUAAUGACGGUACUGCAGAAGAAGCACAGCUACACG